GCCAGCGUGGCAUAGUGGUUUGAGUGUAGGUCUACUCUGGAGACUGGCCAGGGUCCAAAUCCCUGUUUGGGCA